AAUGAUAGAAAAGGUCACAUUAGAGUGUGAUAUGAUAAAAAUGUCACCUAGUUUCCCACUUGAUAAAAUGGUCCAUCAUGAAUUGUCGGUAAUAUUAAUUUAGUCCUUAUUAAUAAUGAGGUGAUGUUAAAAAAGGUCACUUUUAAAUUUUUUUGAUUCCAAUUCUGCCCUUUAAGCUAUAAAAUCUUUAUUUCUAAUUCCACCUGAUAUUUCCUCUCUGUUAAUCUCAUUGCAUUAUCUUCUUCACUUUCCUCAGGUUGAACCAGAUGUUGGAGAUAAAAUUCCUCAUAGAAAAAAAUUCACGGUCUUUUUCACUCUCACUCUCUUGAGAUCUCAAACAAUUUUGAUCGGUUUCUUCCGCCAUGAUCUGCUGAAACACGUCGCCGUCGGCGAGAAUGGAAGGAAUCUAACGUCUCCGGCGACGAUGCCUUCGCCGCGAUCUGCAACAAGUACGACCGAUACGGCAUCGACAAGUAGAAGGACUCUAAUGUCUCCGGCGACGAUGCCUUCGCUCGCCUCUACUCUGCCGUCGAGUUCGACAUUGAAGCUGGUCUUCAGAAAGCGGAGCUUGCUUCAAAAAAGAAAAGUAGGGCAUUUGCAGUUGCUCUGAAUGCCGUGAUUCGCCGGACCAAGGCUCGAUUGCUUAAAGAGGUUCCCAAGUUGCAGAGAUUGGCUGUAAAGAAGAUUCAUAGAAGAAAGGUACGGGCAUGGCAAAUGAUAUGUAUUUUGUCACAUUUCGUUUGUCAAGAUAUAGUUUCAGAAGUUGCACGUUGCUUGCACACAUCCCUCUCUAGGAACAACUUACCUGCAGUUCGUCAAUAUUUGGAAACAUUUGCAAUUAAUAUAUACUUAAAAGUUUCCAUUACUGGUAAGAAUUUGCCUUUAGUGGUUUCAUGGUGCAACAACUAUCUCUUUCAUAAUAUCUGUGAAUUGGGUUUUGGUUUUGGU